GCAUUGAUGGUGUAGCAGGAUUAACCUGACAAUACUGUGAACUAGCUCCGGGUUCGACUCCCGGUUAAUGCA
rnacentral:tRNA from 1 species